rnacentral:ncRNA from 1 species
AUUUAUAAGAAUAUGAUGUUGGUUCAGAUUAAGCGCUAAAUAAGGACAUGACACAUGCGAAUCAUACGUUUAUUAUUGAUAAGAUAAUAAAUAUGUGGUGUAAACGUGAGUAAUUUUAUUAGGAAUUAAUGAACUAUAGAAUAAGCUAAAUACUUAAUAUAUUAUUAAAAAAAAAUAAUUUAUAUAAUAAAAAGGAUAUAUAUAUAAUAUAUAUUUAUCUAUAGUCAAGCCAAUAAUGGUUUAGGUAGUAGGUUUAUUAAGAGUUAAACCUAGCCAACGAUCCAUAAUCGAUAAUGAAAGUUAGAACGAUCACGUUGACUCUGAAAUAUAGUCAAUAUCUAUAAGAUACAGCAGUGAGGAAUAUUGGACAAUGAUCGAAAGAUUGAUCCAGUUACUUAUUAGGAUGAUAUAUAAAAAUAUUUUAUUUUAUUUAUAAAUAUUAAAUAUUUAUAAUAAUAAUAAUAAUAUAUAUAUAUAAAUUGAUUAAAAAUAAAAUCCAUAAAUAAUUAAAAUAAUGAUAUUAAUUACCAUAUAUAUUUUUAUAUGGAUAUAUAUAUUAAUAAUAAAAUUAAUUUAUUAUUAUUAAUAAUAUAUUUUAAUAGUCCUGACUAAUAUUUGUGCCAGCAGUCGCGGUAACACAAAGAGGGCGAGCGUUAAUCAUAAUGGUUUAAAGGAUCCGUAGAAUGAAUUAUAUAUUAUAAUUUAGAGUUAAUAAAAUAUAAUUAAAGAAUUAUAAUAGUAAAGAUGAAAUAAUAAUAAUAAUUAUAAGACUAAUAUAUGUGAAAAUAUUAAUUAAAUAUUAACUGACAUUGAGGGAUUAAAACUAGAGUAGCGAAACGGAUUCGAUACCCGUGUAGUUCUAGUAGUAAACUAUGAAUACAAUUAUUUAUAAUAUAUAUUAUAUAUAAAUAAUAAAUGAAAAUGAAAGUAUUCCACCUGAAGAGUACGUUAGCAAUAAUGAAACUCAAAACAAUAGACGGUUACAGACUUAAGCAGUGGAGCAUGUUAUUUAAUUCGAUAAUCCACGACUAACCUUACCAUAUUUUGAAUAUUAUAAUAAUUAUUAUAAUUAUUAUAUUACAGGCGUUACAUUGUUGUCUUUAGUUCGUGCUGCAAAGUUUUAGAUUAAGUUCAUAAACGAACAAAACUCCAUAUAUAUAAUUUUAAUUAUAUAUAAUUUUAUAUUAUUUAUUAAUAUAAAGAAAGGAAUUAAGACAAAUCAUAAUGAUCCUUAUAAUAUGGGUAAUAGACGUGCUAUAAUAAAAUGAUAAUAAAAUUAUAUAAAAUAUAUUUAAUUAUAUUUAAUUAAUAAUAUAAAACAUUUUAAUUUUUAAUAUAUUUUUUUAUUAUAUAUUAAUAUGAAUUAUAAUCUGAAAUUCGAUUAUAUGAAAAAAGAAUUGCUAGUAAUACGUAAAUUAGUAUGUUACGGUGAAUAUUCUAACUGUUUCGCACUAAUCACUCAUCACGCGUUGAAACAUAUUAUUAUCUUAUUAUUUAUAUAAUAUUUUUUAAUAAAUAUUAAUAAUUAUUAAUUUAUAUUUAUUUAUAUCAGAAAUAAUAUGAAUUAAUGCGAAGUUGAAAUACAGUUACCGUAGGGGAACCUGCGGUGGGCUUAUAAAUAUC